UUUAAUAGACAUUUAAGGGUAUUGGUAUGUUUGAAAUAAAGCGCAUAUGAAAUGUACAACGUUUCAUUUUUAAGAAUAAUUUAUAUCAACAGACGCUCGAGGAUUGGUUGUUGUAGGUGACACACGGAUGACGUCAACGCUCGUAUAAAUACUAAAAGCGUACUCUCGUUCGGUCUUUUUCGAUGGGUGUGAGCUGCAGGACUUAUACGCUGUUUUGAUAGUUUAUACAACGAUAAGCUAAUAUAUUAUGACAGUGAUUAAAUCGUAAUAAUUUCUGGGGUAUAUUUGACUAAGCGAACAGUCGGUUCUCGUAGUUAGUAUGUGUAUGGGAAUGCGCAUGCGAAGAACGCUCUCGGCGCCAAUGUUAACUCCUGUUCGGCUUGGGAAGUGUUUACAAUGAGGGAGAAGUUGGUGAACGUUUGCUGCAUCAAUGUUAUGGGUUUGAUUUGUAACCUGCCUAGUCAAAUCAGUACACAUGGAGCUUGUCCUCUUGAUUCGUAAUGUUCUUGUAAAGUGUUACUGACCUAGAUGUAUCCCCCUUCAGAAGAAUUUUUUUUCCUUUAGUUAUGUGAAAAGGAGACAUGGUAUGUACAAUGCAUGUUGGUCAAUAAAGAUUAAAUUUUUGCA